GCGUUGGCGGCGUGCUUAACACAUGCAAGUCGAACGAUGAUGCCCAGCUUGCUGGGCGGAUUAGUGGCGAACGGGUGAGUAAUACGUGAGUAACCUGCCCUUGACUCUGGGAUAAGCCUGGGAAACUGGGUCUAAUACUGGAUACUACUGCGCAUCGCAUGGUGUGUGGUGGAAAGGGUUUUACUGGUUUUGGAUGGGCUCACGGCCUAUCAGCUUGUUGGUGGGGUAAUGGCUCACCAAGGCGACGACGGGUAGCCGGCCUGAGAGGGUGACCGGCCACACUGGGACUGAGACACGGCCCAGACUCCUACGGGAGGCAGCAGUGGGGAAUAUUGCACAAUGGGCGCAAGCCUGAUGCAGCGACGCCGCGUGAGGGAUGACGGCCUUCGGGUUGUAAACCUCUUUCAGUAGGGAAGAAGCGAGAGUGACGGUACCUGCAGAAGAAGCGCCGGCUAACUACGUGCCAGCAGCCGCGGUAAUACGUAGGGCGCAAGCGUUGUCCGGAAUUAUUGGGCGUAAAGAGCUCGUAGGCGGUUUGUCGCGUCUGCUGUGAAAGCCCGGGGCUCAACCCCGGGUCUGCAGUGGGUACGGGCAGACUAGAGUGCA
rnacentral:rRNA from 1 species